GUUGAAACAUCACUCCCCGUUCGAUCACCGAAGUUAAACAACGUCGAGCCUGGUCAGUACAUAGAUAGGUGACCGCUUCAGAAUAUCAGGCGUUGUAAG